GACGAACGCUGGCGGCGUGCUUAACACAUGCAAGUCGAACGGAAAGGCCCUGCUUUUGUGGGGUGCUCGAGUGGCGAACGGGUGAGUAACACGUGAGUAACCUGCCCUUGACUUUGGGAUAACUUCAGGAAACUGGGGCUAAUACCGGAUAGGAGCUCCUGCUGCAUGGUGGGGGUUGGAAAGUUUCGGCGGUUGGGGAUGGACUCGCGGCUUAUCAGCUUGUUGGUGGGGUAGUGGCUUACCAAGGCUUUGACGGGUAGCCGGCCUGAGAGGGUGACCGGCCACAUUGGGACUGAGAUACGGCCCAGACUCCUACGGGAGGCAACAGUGGGGAAUAUUGCACAAUGGGCGGAAGCCUGAUGCAGCAACGCCGCGUGCGGGAUGACGGCCUCGGGUUGUAAACCGCUUUCGCCUGUGACGAAGCGUGAGUGACGGUAAUGGGUAAAGAAGCACCGGCUAACUACGUG
rnacentral:rRNA from 1 species